rnacentral:rRNA from 1 species
CUACGGGUCGCUCCAGUGAGGAAUAUUGCACAAUGGGGGGAACCCUGAUGCAGCAACGCCGCGUGGAGGAUGACGCAUUUCGGUGUGUAAACUCCUUUUAUAUGUCAAGAAAAUGACGGUAGCAUAUGAAUAAGCACCGGCUAACUCCGUGCCAGCAGCCGCGGUAAUACGGAGGGUGCAAGCGUUACUCGGAAUCACUGGGCGUAAAGGAGGCGUAGGCGGAUUGGAAAGUCAGGUGUGAAAUCCUACAGCUUAACUGUAGAACUGCACUUGAAACUUCUAAUCUAGAGUAUGGGAGGGGGAGAUGGAAUUAGUGGUGUAGGGGUAAAAUCCGUAGAUAUCACUAGGAAUACCUAAAGCGAAGGCGAUCUCCUGGAACAUUACUGACGCUAAGGCGUGAAAGCGUGGGGAGCAAACAGGAUUAGAUACCCCAGUAGUC